rnacentral:rRNA from 1 species
AGCAGCCGCGGUAAUUCCAGCUCCAAUAGCGUAUAUUAAAGUUGCUGCAGUUAAAAAAGCUCGUAGUUGAAUUUCGGGACCAAUAUGUCGGUCGUGCCUCGGUACGUACUGGCAUCGUUGGUUUCUCCCUUCUGGCGAACCAUGAUGUUAUUUAUUUGGUGUCGUGGGGGAAUCAGGACUGUUACUUUGAAAAAAAUUAGAGUGUUUAAAGCAGGCUCACGCUUGAAUACAUUAGCAUGGAAUAAUGAAAUAGGACGUUUGAUUCUAUUUUUGUUGGUUUCUAGGAUCGACGUAAUGAUUAAUAGGGAUAGUUGGGGGGCAUUAGUAUUCAAUUGUCAGAGGUGAAAUUCUUGGAUUUAUUGAAGACUAACUACUGCGAAAAGCAUUUGCCAAGGAUGUUUUCUAUUAAUCAAGAACGAAAGUUAGGGGAUCGAAGACGAUCAGAUACCGUCGUAGUCUUAACCAUAAACUAUAGCCGACUAGGGAGUCGGAUGAUGUUAUUUUUAAUAGUACUCUAUUC